GACGAACGCUGGCGGCGUGCUUAACACAUGCCAGUCGAACGGAAAGGCCCUGCUUUUGUUGGGUGCUCGAGUGGCGAACGGGUGAGUAACACGUGAGUAACCUGCCCUUGACUUUGGGAUAACUUCAGGAAACUGGGGCUAAUACCGGAUAGGAGCUCCUGCUGCAUGGUGGGGGUUGGAAAGUUUCGGCGGUUGGGGAUGGACUCGCGGCUUAUCAGCUUGUUGGUGGGGUAGUGGCUUACCAAGGCUUUGACGGGUAGCCGGCCUGGGAGGGUGACCGGCCACAUUGGGACUGAGAUACGGCCCAGAAUCCUACGGGAGGCAGCAGUGGGGAGUAUUGCACAAUGGGCGGAAGCCUGAUGCAGCAACGCCGCGUGCGGGAUGACGGCCUUCGGGUUGUAAACCGCUUUCGCCUGUGACGAAGCGUGAGUGACGGUAAUGGGUAAAGAAGCACCGGCUAACUACGUG
rnacentral:rRNA from 1 species